GACCUAUUAAGACUUAUCAGGAAUUAUUUCAGCAUUUUUUCUAGAAUUUAAUUCCACUUGGAUCUGAGCAUAAUCCAGCUUUUAGAUACUCCUAGAUAUCUUUUUAUGAUCUGUAAAUACUUUAUUUGGGUUCCUCAUGUUCUAAAAUAUCUCUAAGAAUUUUCUCAUAAUUUUCGGAGCCUUCUGAGUAUUUUUCGGACCUUAAAUAUCAAUUCUG
rnacentral:lncRNA from 1 species